UUAAACGGCUUCUACCUCUUUACCUGUGUUCUCCUGUAUUUCUUUAAGGGAGUUAUGUCCUUCUUAAAACUCUUCUGUGAUCAUUAUGAGAUAUGAUUUUAAAUCAGAGUCUUGCUUUUCUGGUGUGUUGGGGAACCCAGGGCUUGCUGUGGUGGGAGAACUUGGUUCUGAUGAUGCCAAGUAGCCUUGAUUUCUGUUGCUUAUGUUCCUGCCCUUACCUCUUGCCAUCUGGUUAUCUCUGGUGUUAGCUGGUCUUGCUGUCUCUGACUGCGACCUGUCCCUCCUGCAAGCCUGUGUUUCAGUACUCCUAGGAGACCAGCUCUCUCCCAGCAGGAUCUGGGUAUCUCUAGCCUGUCCCAGGCUGCUCACUGAUUCCUGUGUCCUGAGGGUUCCAGGUGGAUCCCUCUGAGCAUAAGUGGUGGUCUUACCUGUGCUCAUAGGUGUGUCUGCACUCCUGGGAGACCAGUUUUCUCUGGAAGGAAUUUGGGUAUGGAGAGCUGUGACACAGUGUCAGCUCCGGGGCACAGAUGGAAACAAUCCUGUCCCUGGUCGUUCCUUGGUUCCUGUGUCCUAAUGGCUCUGGGUGGGUCUCUCUUGGGCCAAGAAUUUGAGCAGAAGUGGUGGUCUCACCUGUGCUCUCAGGUGUGUCAGCACUCCUGGGAGAAUUAGUGAAACUAAAAUCUCAUAAUCUCUUACUAUAAAAUAUGACACCUUCCAACUCUUACAUUAUAAGAAUCUCAAAAUUCAAUAACAACAACAACAAAGAAAGAAGAAAAGGACAUGUGAUUGACCUUAAAAAGUAGAAACCAGGUAUGGGAGAUUGGAUACUUGUGUGGAGUAUGUUACAUUUAUGGUACUUGUGCUCAAUGACAGUGAUUGUUAUGCUUGUGUAGCAGGUUGUCCCAAGGCUCAAGUAGUAGUGUUUUUUCCCCUUGAAUGGUACAUAGACUCAACCAGAGUAAAAUUCAUGCUGAUCAAGUUUCAAGACAUGAAGUCCUGCAAAAUGAGACUUGCCAGAGUCUGUCCCUCCUGGAGUUGGCCCACCUGAAUUCUUCUGUUCUCCAUAAGGAGGAUGAAUUACGCUUUGUGCCUCUUGGGACAUCUGGAUAGAUCCUCUCACCCACAGUGGGAUCAUGGAGCCUGUACCUGUGUUCUGGAUGUCUCCAAUGUCAAAUGGAUAUCUAGUUUCUUCAAAAAAGCCCAGUGAACUACCUCCAACAAACAGAACCUGUGGGCUGGAGAUAUGGCUCAACAGUUAAGAGUACUUGCUGGGCAAUCAUGCAAACUGAAGUUGAGAUCCCACCACACAUGUAAUGAGCUUUAUAUCUGACAAACAUCAGUCCCUCCAACUCUGAGGAAUAUGAAACACUCCUUUAACCUCUGUUUUCACACAAACACAUGGAUUUGCAAACACAUGUGCACAUUCCUGCUCCACCAAACCUAGCUCUGCGACCUUGAAAAUGCUUUUAAUUUUCCUAAGAUUUAGUUCUUUCAUUUGUAAACUGGCAAUUAUAACAGAAUCUUUCUCAUAGGGUGGCUAGAGCACUACCUACAAAGGGUUAAACUUGGGUGUGUGGCUCUUCAUAGAUGUUAAAAAAGAACCUUAUUGUACUGUGUGCACUUGCUUCAAUAAAUGGAUUACUGCUACCCC
rnacentral:lncRNA from 1 species